rnacentral:rRNA from 1 species
UCGGGAAUUUUGGGCAAUGGGCGAAAGCCUGACCCAGCAACGCCGCGUGAAGGAUGAAGUAUUUCGGUAUGUAAACUUCGAAAGAAUAGGAAGAAUAAAUGACGGUACUAUUUAUAAGGUCCGGCUAACUACGUGCCAGCAGCCGCGGUAAUACGUAGGGACCAAGCGUUGUUCGGAUUUACUGGGCGUAAAGCGUGCGCAGGCGGUUGUGCAAGACAGGUGUGAAAUCCCCGGGCUUAACCUGGGAACUGCACUUGUGACUGCACAGCUGGAGUACGGCAGAGGGGGAUGGAAUUCCGCGUGUAGCAGUGAAAUGCGUAGAUAUCGGGAGGAACACCUGUGGCGAAGGCGGCCACCUGGUUGGAUACUGACGCUGAGACGCGAAAGCGUGGGGAGCAAACAGGAUUAGAUACCCACGUAGUCCCUGAGCGGGCUGGCAAGGCGCAU